CCCUUAGAUGUUCUGGGCCGCACGCGCGCUACACUGAUGCAUUCAACGAGCUUUGUUUGUUCCUUGGCCGAGAGGCCUGGGCAAUCUUUUGAACUUGCAUCGUGAUAGGGAUAGAUUAUUGCAAUUAUUAAUCUUGAACGAGGAAUUCCUAGUAAACGCAGAUCAUCAAUCUGCAUUGAUUACGUCCCUGCCCUUUGUACACACCGCCCGUCGCACCUACCGAUUGAAUGGUCCGGUGAAGCCUCGGGAUUGUGGUUGGUUUCCUUUAUUGGAGAUUGAUUGCGAGAACUUGUCUAAACCUUAUCAUUUAGAGGAAGGUGAAGUCGUAACA
rnacentral:rRNA from 1 species